rnacentral:lncRNA from 1 species
GGAAUAUAUGAACAGAAUAAAAUAGAAUGUUAAUAAGUUUCCAGAAAAUAAUGCUGUUCUUAAAUUCCUUUUUCAUAAUAGAUAUUAAAUCUAACCACAGCCACCAAAAUCGAAACAGCCAUAGGAUUACUUACUUAUUGAAGAAAACAGAACAAUGGCUGAGACAGAACAACUAUACCAUCGCUAGAGAUAAAUCCAAAAGAAUUGUUUUGAUGAGCAAAGAAGCUUAUGAUGAUUAUCUUCGAGAGAACAUUGCUGCAACACAGCCUAGAAUCCUGACAAAAGACCCCACUUUUCAGUUUAAAGCAGCCCUGGGAUAGGAUAACUUCCAACAAGAUGUUUCCCCAAGAAUGGAAGCAUAAUAGAAUCCAAGCACCGGCAUGUCCUAGAUUCUUCGCGUACAUGAAGUCCCACAAGCAGCCAGUUAAGCUGAGGCCCAUAGUUGAAAAAAAGCUCCUCACCUACUUUCAACCUUGAGAAGACAUUAGCCAAAUGGUGCUUAACAAUAUUGGGCUAGAGUGAGUAUUCCAC